AAAUUGCAUUCUAGUUUUUACACGCAAAGUAGAAAAUAUGGCUGAAAAUCUCAAGUUUUUUAAAAUUUUGAUUUUAUAUUAUUCGAUAUUCUUUGUCGGGACGCAUGCCGUUGGUAAGACAAUUUUUUCAUUCUUACAAAAUUUUAUUAUUUAUGUUGAAGUUUUGGCACAAUUUAUUAUCACGUUGUUUUAUCAUUAUUUUAUCAUCUUUUUUAUUAUAGGGGAAGAUAUAAAAUGCGAAACAAGUCUCGAUUGUCCCAAUUUUGUGGUUGACUUCAUAUAUUUUCGCUGCAUUCGUAAAGUAUGUUAUGGUUUUGUUCUUCCUUAUUGAUUCUAUGAAUACUAAAUGAAUUAUGUUAUUUUUAUUCCAAACCAUAUAUCAAAUACUUACACCAAAUAUUGUACAUCGUAUUUAUACGGUGAACAGUGUUUUUUAUUUUUUUAAUAAAUAAAAAAAAAUAUUUAUAAAAAAAUAUUUUUAUUUUUAAAAUUAUUUUUGUAACACAAAUAUAAAAUAUGUCAUUAAUCAAAUUUAUUAUUGUAUUAACCAUAAAAAUAUAGAUUAUUAACCACAUAUUUUACUUAUAAUUCAUUAACCAAAUUUACUAUUUCAUUAACCAAUAAAAUAUAUAGUAUUAACCAAAUUCUAACAUUAAAAUAUGAAAUAACUUAUAUUUUAUGGUUAAUACAAUAAUAAAAUUGGUUGAUAACCUAUAUUUUUGUGGUUAAUACAAUAAUAAAAUUGGUUAAUAAUAAAAUUUAUAAUUAUGUUAUAAAAAUAUUUUUUUAUAAAUAUUAUUUUUUUAUUUAUUAAAAAAUAUUGUUCACCGUAUAAUAUUUGAUGUAUGUUUUGGUGUAGGAAUAGCAAGCCUCGUACUAAAUCCAUGAGAGUUCAAAAAUUACAUAGAUAUCAUGUUAGAAAAAUAAAUGUGUAAUAUAAUUAUGUGAAAGAAUAUCUUAUAAGUUUGCAUUUAUUUAUUGAUGACAUCUAAUAUAUUUCUAACUUGUACUCUAAAAAAGAUAAUAACGAAACAAAGAGAUUUCCAAUUGUCUUAUUUUUGGAUGUUUCAUUGAUGACAUCUAUAAGAAACACUUUAGUAGUUAAGUUUAAGGCAAGUUUUUGUUAGAAAGGUUUUGUAGUGAACAAGAGUAAAUUUGUGUGCCCUUGUGUAAACUAAAAAAAAUGAAAACUUCAUACCGUUUUUUUCCACCUUAGUUUACAUUGGUUUAUU
rnacentral:lncRNA from 1 species